rnacentral:ncRNA from 1 species
AUGCAAUGUGAUUUUUUCCUAGUGCUCUGAAUGUUAAAGUGAAGAAAUUCAACCAAGCAUGGGUAAACGACGGGAGUAAAUAUGACUCUCUUAAGGUAGCCAAAUUCCUCGUAGACUACCGUAAUAUUGCAUGAAGAAUAUUUUGUAUUGUCUUGGUUCUUG